CGUAGCCUGCUCUUCAAGUCUCUCGUUAAAUCCAGCGAUUCAAUCGUUGGAAUGCGGGAGAUACUGUUGGGCUAGGAGGCGGGAGAAGCCGACGGUAUUCCCGGUGUAGGGGUAAAAUCCUAUAAUCCCGGGAGGACCACCAGUGGCGUAGGCGGUCGGCUAGCACGCGCUCAACGGUGAGGGACGAAAGCUGGGGGAGCAAACCGGAUUAGAUACCCGGAUAGUCCCAGCUGUAAACGAUGCGGGCUAGGUGUUGAAGUGGCCACGAGCCGCUUCAGUGCCGCAGGGAAGCCAUUAAGCCCGCCGCCUGGGGAGUACGGCCGCAAGGCUGAAACUUAAAGGAAUUGGCGGGGGAGCACCACAAGGCGUGAAGCUUGCGGUUCAAUUGGAGUCAACGCCGGGAACCUUACCGGGGGCGACAGCAGAAUGAAAGCCAGAUUGAAGGUCUUGCUGGACGAGCUGAGAGGAGGUGCAUGGCCGUCGCCAGUUCGUGCCGUGAGGUGUCCUGUUAAGUCAGGCAACGAUCGAGACCCACACCCCCUGUUGCCACCGAGGAGUUUUCCAAGGGGCACUCUGGGGGACUGCCAACGAUAAGUUGGAGGAAGGGGUGGGCUACGGCAGGUCAGUAUGCCCCGAAUCCUCCGGGCCACACGCGAGCUGCAAUGGCUGGGACAGUGGGUUCCAACCUCGAGAGGGGGAGGUAAUCCCUAAACCCGGCCUAAGUUUGGAUCGAGGGCUGUAACCCGUCCUCGUGAAAAUGGAAUGCCU
rnacentral:rRNA from 1 species